AGAGUUUGAUCCUGGCUCAGGAUGAACGCUGGCGGCGUGCCUAAUACAUGCAAGUCGAGCGAACGGACGAGAAGCUUGCUUCUCUGAUGUUAGCGGCGGACGGGUGAGUAACACGUGGAUAACCUACCUAUAAGACUGGGAUAACUUCGGGAAACCGGAGCUAAUACCGGAUAAUAUUUUGAACCGCAUGGUUCAAAAGUGAAAGACGGUCUUGCUGUCACUUAUAGAUGGAUCCGCGCUGCAUUAGCUAGUUGGUAAGGUAACGGCUUACCAAGGCAACGAUGCAUAGCCGACCUGAGAGGGUGAUCGGCCACACUGGAACUGAGACACGGUCCAGACUCCUACGGGAGGCAGCAGUAGGGAAUCUUCCGCAAUGGGCGAAAGCCUGACGGAGCAACGCCGCGUGAGUGAUGAAGGUCUUCGGAUCGUAAAACUCUGUUAUUAGGGAAGAACAUAUGUGUAAGUAACUGUGCACAUCUUGACGGUACCUAAUCAGAAAGCCACGGCUAACUACGUGCCAGCAGCCGCGGUAAUACGUAGGUGGCAAGCGUUAUCCGGAAUUAUUGGGCGUAAAGCGCGCGUAGGCGGUUUUUUAAGUCUGAUGUGAAAGCCCACGGCUCAACCGUGGAGGGUCAUUGGAAACUGGAAAACUUGAGUGCAGAAGAGGAAAGUGGAAUUCCAUGUGUAGCGGUGAAAUGCGCAGAGAUAUGGAGGAACACCAGUGGCGAAGGCGACUUUCUGGUCUGUAACUGACGCUGAUGUGCGAAAGCGUGGGGAUCAAACAGGAUUAGAUACCCUGGUAGUCCACGCUGUAAACGAUGAGUGCUAAGUGUUAGGGGGUUUCCGCCCCUUAGUGCUGCAGCUAACGCAUUAAGCACUCCGCCUGGGGAGUACGACCGCAAGGUUGAAACUCAAAGGAAUUGACGGGGACCCGCACAAGCGGUGGAGCAUGUGGUUUAAUUCGAAGCAACGCGAAGAACCUUACCAAAUCUUGACAUCCUUUGACAACUCUAGAGAUAGAGCCUUCCUCUUCGGGGGACAAAGUGACAGGUGGUGCAUGGUUGUCGUCAGCUCGUGUCGUGAGAUGUUGGGUUAAGUCCCGCAACGAGCGCAACCCUUAAGCUUAGUUGCCAUCAUUAAGUUGGGCACUCUAAGUUGACUGCCGGUGACAAACCGGAGGAAGGUGGGGAUGACGUCAAAUCAUCAUGCCCCUUAUGAUUUGGGCUACACACGUGCUACAAUGGACAAUACAAAGGGCAGCGAAACCGCGAGGUCAAGCAAAUCCCAUAAAGUUGUUCUCAGUUCGGAUUGUAGUCUGCAACUCGACUACAUGAAGCUGGAAUCGCUAGUAAUCGUAGAUCAGCAUGCUACGGUGAAUACGUUCCCGGGUCUUGUACACACCGCCCGUCACACCACGAGAGUUUGUAACACCCGAAGCCGGUGGAGUAACCUUUUAGGAGCUAGCCGUCGAAGGUGGGACAAAUGAUUGGGGUGAAGUCGUAACAAGGUAGCCGUAUCGGAAGGUGCGGCUGGAUCACCU
rnacentral:rRNA from 1 species